UUCAUUAAUCAAGAACGAAAGUUAGGGGAUCGAAGACGAUUAGAUACCGUCGUAGUCUUAACCAUAAACUAUGCCGACUAGGGAUCGGGCGCAGUUUCUAAUGACUCGCUCGGCACCUUAAGAGAAAUCAAAGUUUUUGGGUUCUGGGGGGAGUAUGGUCGCAAGGCUGAAACUUAAAGGAAUUGACGGAAGGGCACCACCAGGAGUGGAGCCUGCGGCUUAAUUUGACUCAACACGGGGAAACUCACCAGGUCCAGACACAGUAAGGAUUGACAGAUUGAGAGCUCUUUCUUGAUUUUGUGGUUGGUGGUGCAUGGCCGCUCUUAGUUGGUGGAGUGAUUUGUCUGCCUAAUCGCGAUAACGAACGAGACCCUUACCUGCUAAAUAGUCGACUCGGCCCUGGCCGGGACCUUUUUGGUUAUGACUUCUUAGAGGGACUGGAGGCUCCAAGCCUCAGGAAGCCGGGGGCAAUAACAGGU
rnacentral:rRNA from 1 species